rnacentral:lncRNA from 1 species
CUGGCAUGACGUGACACUUCCUACGGCUCCCAUGGGCUCUCAGAAGGCGGGAAAAAGCUGAACCAUGUAAUUCCAUCCCCAGGAUGAAACACAUUAGCGCGUUUGGCUAGUGCUCUAUCAGAGGGCCAUUAGACUGAGGCUCGUGCAUGAGGGGAUAGCAUGCUUUUACUUUCACUCUCUUUGUAAUAAAAAACGAUUUCCCGGUCGGAAUAUUAUCACUUUUUUACGAGAAAAAUGGCAUAAAAAUGGAUUUUAAACAGCGGUUGACAUGCUUCGAAGUACGGUAAUGGAAUAUUUCGAUUUUUUUUGUCACGAAAUGCCCCAUGCUCGUCACCCUUAUUUACCCUUUCAGAUAGUGUCUUGAACGCACGAACAAAACGCCGCUAUUUGGAUAUAACAAUGGAUUAUUUGGGACCAAACCAACAUUUGUUAUUGAAGUAGAAGUCCUGGGAGUGCAUUCUGACGAAGACAGCAAAGUCGUUACAGAAUUACCCACCAAACAAGGACCAAGCAGCGGAGGAAGGAGCAGCACCAGGAGAGCAGCAUGAUGGACUCAUGGACGUGGGAACAAAUACUGGACGGAGAGGGACUAUGGACUCAGGCUGGGGAUUAUCGCCUCCCGCAGUGGGAGAUCGAAGCGGCGAGAGCGGAGAGGCGAUGGUAUGAGGAGAGAGAGCGCAACAGGCAUGAGAGGCAGCCCCAAGAUUCUUUUUUGGGGGGGGCGCACGGGACAGUCGGCGGUGCCGAGGUCGGAACCAGAGCCAGUCGGGUUGACGUUGGAGGUGAGCGAAGGGUGGAAAGCAGAGACAGUGAAGGAGUUGAUGGGGAGAUUGGAGGAGAGAGAGAUGAGAGACCUGCUGGUUUGGUGCAUAAGGCACGGCAUUCGCCCUACGGAGCGUAUCAGUGAAUUGAUGUCACCUGAGUCAGUUCUCAUACUCGUCCUGAGGUGCGUGCUGGCCGUCUGUUGAAGACUGUGCCUGCGCCCAGAAACAGGCCUCCUGCAUGUCUUCCCAGCCCUGCACGUCCUGUGCCUACGCCCAGAAACAGGCCUCCUGCAUGUCUUCCCAGCCCUGCACGUCCUGUGCCUACGCCCAGAACCAGGCCUCCUGCAUGUCUUCCCAUCCUGGUCAAGCCCGUGCCUCCUCCUCGGACCAGGCCUCCAGUGGGUCUCCCCAUCCUGGUCUGUCCUGUGCCUCCUCCUCGGACCAGGCCUCCAGUGGGUCUCCCCAUCCUGGUCACAGGAAGGCCAAAAAGAUCAUCAAGGACAACAACCACCCGAGCAACUGCCUGUUCACACCGCUACCUUCCAGAAGGCGAGGUGUUCUGGUCUGGUUUGGGACUUGGAGACAGAAACAGCUCUGUUCCUCGGAGAAUCUCAAUUGGUUUUGAUUGACUCCUCGCGUCCUCUCCUCAACCUCUCCUCGCCUGCUUUUUAAAAAGGUGAUCCUGGUCACAAAGGGGUCAAGGAGGUGACAUCCGUCACUGGGGAACAGCGAAAAAUACCCUAAACUGCCCGACUCCUCCCCUCACAGCAGCAGCAGAGCGAUGACGGCCUUGUCUCAAAUAAGGGCCGAUCUAUUGGUCUGAUUUGUGGUCUGCGGAACAAUUUCAAUACCCGUCCUUGCACUGAUAGAUGAGGCACCCGUUUGAUAAAGGGCCAAUUUGCCACAGGGGCAAUAGGGAUGGAAUUGCAUCGAUGUCCUUUAUUUUGUCUGCUCCUCAAUAUCGAACAAAACAGGAUGGAAAAAAAGAAUGUGCAAGCAGGCAUAGUAAAAGGAGGUUUCGAUUGUAAUAUAGUUCUCUUAUCUGUGCCCCAGGCCUCAGGUGUGUUCUCUUUUUAUGACUUCAAACUUUAGCAAAAUAAGAGGGGAAAUACUGGAUGUUUUGGUUAUUGGAUCAUAAUUUGACAGGUAACAACUUCACAGUCAAAACAGAAGUAUGUCGUUCUAUCAAUUCUAAAAGGUUAUGCAGAUUACUGUAACGAUGCAGCCUAGGCUAGACCUAUUUCCCUGGUAUUUGUUAUCUCGGGCUGUCGCAUGUUAUUAAAGUUGCCUAUUUAUUCAUGUUCAGAUUAAAGCUCACAUUUGUAUGCGUUAGCAAUAGUGGUUCUUUACAUUCAUUUUUUUUACCUUUAUUUAACUAGGCAUGUCAGUUAAGAACAAAUUCUUAUUUACAAUGACGCCCUACCCUGGCCAAACCUGGACAACGCUGGGCCAAUUGUGCGCUGCCCUUCGGGACUCCCAAUCACAGCCGGAUGUGAUACAGCCUGGAUUCCAACCAGGGACUGUAGUGAAGCCUAUUGCAUUGAGAUGCAGGGCCUUAGACCGCUGUGCCACUCGGGAGUCCAUACUUAGACCAUGUCAUUUCGUUGCUUAUUUUGCCUAAAAACCAAUGUUUAGUUCGUAAUAUUUCUACCAGUAGACUACUCACCAUCUUGAGAAUCUUAUGUUGGGUGCUCUUCUAGUCUAGGUAGACCAUCCCCUUCUCAUGUACUACUUUACCUGUGUAGUGUGCACACAUGGUUUGGGAUAAUCCAUUCCGAAAUGUCAGUGACAAACCAUUACGUUUUCUGCUAAUUUAAAUGCAUUAUACUAUUUUCAAUUAACAUGAUUUUUUUCAAAUGUAAAAUAAAUGUUUAUUGUGUCCUGUUUUGACAUAUAUUUUAGUUUAAUUUGUGGAUCCACCUGUUGGUAGUAUAUCCUACAUGAGACCAUUUCCUUUUUCGGCUGUUUAAUGGAGCGAUCAUGUACUCAUAGGAAGAUAGAAACUGAGAAGUCAUAAGUCUGACAUAAUUGAGGUUAAGUGCUUUUGAAAUCGGACCAAUUCUUUAACCAAUACGCUUGAUAAGUUAACUAACGUUGCUAAUAAUAAUGUUAGUUAGCUUGCUUAACAUUGACAAUAUGGUCAAACUAGCUACAUCAUCCACAUUGAUAAUGUAGCGGCUGUAUUGAUAGUGUAGCUAAUGUAACUUGCAAUGUAUCCACAUUGAUCACAACUGAGCAACUCGGGUAACAUAAUUUUCUCUGAGUGUCCCACUUGCAAUUACGACGUGGAUAGUAGUUCAAGUAAAACUUCCUAGUCGGAACUCCGAACUUACAAUAACUCUGACAGCAUGUGAACGCCCCAUAUGUCAUUUUUCCUUGUAAGUCAUCAUUUGCACUGCGUGCCUACAACACUGUAAAUAAAACCUUCCUUUUUUAUCACACUAGUCCGUCGGGUCUCCAACUAUGUGCUACAAAAUCUAACUAACUAGGCUGCCAGGUCUCCUAGAAUUCAUAUGCAGAAUACAAUAAUACCAUAUUUGGAAUGUCUCAGUGAAUAAUAAUGGUUUUCCUCUGAUUUGAUACCCAACUUCUUACAAUCACUGUCUUGUGUACCCUCUCCCCGUCAGCUUUGAUAAUCAUUAACAAAAACUUUUUUCAAACCUAUGCAACCAAACCUACACAAUCAAAGGAGACACACUCAGAAGUGGUUCAAAUUAUUUAUGAAUAUAAUGCAUAGAUACAUCUCUAAUCAUCUGCUCUCAUUUCACAUUGAAGUGGUGCCUUGCAGAAGGCGAAUUAGCAUUUCUGUUCAUAAUACAGGAAGCAGUUUGACUCAUAGGUCCUUGGAGAGGGACCAGGGCACAUUUUGUUUCCCAACACUGUUGCUAAGGAACCUGUUUAAAAACACAUUUUUAAAAGGUGAGACCUCUGACACCGCUCACAAUGAAAAUUAAAAUAGGCUGAUUUUGUUGGUUUAAUUCAUUUCGAAUAAAUUAUAAUAUCACACAGGGUCUUUGUUGCCUACAAUGUCCUCUCCGGGUUUCCAUAGGUUUAUGGGGACUUGUUCUGCAUAAGUGGUAUGACGUAAUGGGAUGAAGGGGGGUUUGAGUCUGAG